rnacentral:rRNA from 1 species
CCAAACUCCUACGGGAGGCAGCAGUGGGGAAUAUUGCACAAUGGGGGAAACCCUGACCCAGCAACGCCGCGUGAGGGAUGACGGUUUUCGGAUUGUAAACCUCUGUCCUCUGUGAAGAUAGUGACGGUAGCAGAGGAGGCCGCUCCGGCUGUCUUCGUGCCCGCCGCCGCGGUUUUUCGUNGGGGGCUCGCGUUGUCCGGCUUUUCUGGGUGUUUGNGGUGCGUGGGCGGCUUGGCUNGUCUGNUGUGGUNUCCCUGGGCUUNUCCCUUGGCCUGCUUUUGNUNCUGUUUGUCUUGNGUGCCGUNGNGGUAGGCGGGAAUUCCCCGGUGUGGCGGGGAAAAUGGGUAGAGAUCGGGUGGAGCCCCUGUGGCGAAGGCGGCCUACUGGGCUUUAACUGACGGUGAGGCAGGAAAGUGGGGGUAGCAACCAGGAUUAGAUACCCUGGUAGUCCACACUGUAAACGAUGAUUACUAGGUGUGGGGGGUCUAACCCCCUCCGUGCCGGAGUUAACACAAUAAGUAAUCCACCUGGGGAGUACGACCGCAAGGUUGAAACUCAAAGGAAUUGACGGGGGCCCGCACAAGCAGUGGAGUAUGUGGUUUAAUUCGACGCAACGCGAAGAACCUUACCAAGUCUUGACAUCCCUCUGACCGGAACUUAAUCGUUCCUUUCCUUCGGGACAGAGGAGACAGGUGGUGCAUGGUUGUCGUCAGCUCGUGUCGUGAGAUGUUGGGUUAAGUCCCGCAACGAGCGCAACCCCUAUCCUCAGUAGCCAGCAUUUAAGGUGGGCACUCUGGGGAGACUGCCAGGGAUAACCUGGAGGAAGGCGGGGAUGACGUCAAAUCAUCAUGCCCCUUAUGAUUUGGGCUACACACGUGCUACAAUGGCGUAAACAAAGGGAAGCGAGAUUGUGAGAUGGAGCAAAUCCCAAAAAUAACGUCCCAGUUCGGACUGUAGUCUGCAACCCGACUACACGAAGCUGGAAUCGCUAGUAAUCGCGGAUCAGAAUGCCGCGGUGAAUACGUUCCCGGGUCUUGUACUCACCGCCCGUCA